rnacentral:lncRNA from 1 species
AGCCGUGCAUUUUAUUAAAGGACAACUUUUCUUUCUAUAACCUCUCAAGAUGAACAAAUACUUUUUUUUCUUCUGGCUGUAAAAAAUCAAAUUAUGUCACCUAAUUUCAAGGAAAAGAUUGGCAAUGGCAAGCCAGACCAAAAACACCAUUUGUAUGCAAAGAGAGUUAAACUACUUGGAAAAGUACCCUUGCCAGUAGAGUGUGGUAUCAUUAAACACAGAACUAAAUUUGAAGCAGAGUAGUAGGAAAAAAAAUAUAUCUUGAAAUGUGAUAGGGUCCAUUACGCUUCUUGAUGAGAUUACUUGCCUCUCCAAUACAUUACCCAAAGGCGCUUACAAAACUGAGGGAAUAUAUUACAUUGGAAUUAUCAGAACUUUUUAAAGUAGGUCAAAUUUUGAAGCAAAAAACAUUUCAAAUUUUAUGCAGUGUUACAAAAAAAAAAAAAAAAAAAACUUAGAAGCUGUACAGCCAAGGUGCUAAUCACUUUUUAAAAUAAAGUUUUUUAAAAAAGUCUUACUCUUGCAUAAACAUUAAAUGUACCACUUUGAAAUGCAGAGUCACAUACCUGAGGCUGUUCUUUCACCGUCAUCUUAAUUCAGUUUUUAAUAAUAAACUGAAUUUUAAUUAUAUAAAUAUCUUUAUUCGGAAACAAGAAAAGUUGGGUUCCAAAAAAGGUUGAAAUAUAACUCAUCAUUUUGAAACAGAUUCAAUCCUAACAGUAAAUAUAAAAUACUGUUUCUCCUACCUACUAGGUUUUCAUUCAUGGUGUUAUUACAAAACCACAAAAUUCUGGUAUAAUAUUUUUAAUAAAAUUUUAAUUUUCUUAUAGUUAAAUCUAAAAUAGCAGGCUUACUAUUUGUUUGUGUAAUUUGUCAUAUGAGAAUACUUAAAACACUCAGAAGCUGUAGCAGUGCCUAAGCGUGUCCUAUGUGGGAACAUGAUAACACAAAAAACUGAUUUAAGAACCUAGGUAAUUAAUUCAAGUGCAAGUGGAACAAAAGAAGGCUGACUACUUUAAAAGUAAACAAUUUCUUCUGAAAAUCAUGUCAAGUAAGAAAGUUGUAAAAAUUUAGGUCUUUCUUAAAUUUCUAAUAUUACAUUAAUACAGGUUAGAUAAAUAUGGACACAAAAGAGUACUUGUAAAAAUAAAUAAUACUAUUAUAGAUUUGUUUGGCUUACAUCUGCCAUAGUACCUGAAUAAUCUUCCAAUAAGCUCCACUUUAGGUGCAGACAAGAAGCCCCCAGUGAAGAUGCCAUCUGGGAGUGAAUACAUUAGGCCAAUAAUAGCGUAUUGUGAAUUACUGUGAAUAACACAGACUUGACACAUUAGCAUGAGUAACUAGCAGGCCUCUGAGAAAAGGGAAUGUAUAACUGCAACAUUUAAAUUGGGUGUGUGGGGGGGGAAAGCAGAGUGAAAGAAACUCUUUAGGUUUAGGCCUUGAUGGGUAGGAAGAAGGUUCAUGAAAAGAGAAAAGCUCAAAAAGUAGAAAAAACUCUUUAAAUAGUCUCACACAUUAUUGAAAACAAUGUCUUAUUUUGAAAAGAUGAAAAUUUAGGAUCAAAGAAGUCACUUAAAAGAGGAAUGGCUCUAGAAACAAACUGCUGAUGUCACAAUUUUACCUAGGACCAAUGCCACUUUGGUUCCUCCAAUAAUUAUACUCUUUUGAUCAGUGUAAUUUAAACACUUAUUCCAGGUAAUACAAAAAUUGCAAAUCAAAAUAUAUCAUAGUUAUUGUCACAAGAAUCCAAUUUAGUUUUAAAUGUUAAUCCACAAUAAUACAUAUUGAAAAAAAGACAGAGGAUAUACAUAUGGAAUAGAAAUAAGUUGAUAAAGGAUUUUAAACCAAAAUAAGCAAAAAGCAACAGAAAAAGCCCAUAUAUUUUUUUAAUCCCACCAUUACCUAUGGGCAUUUUGCAAGUAUAAGAUCCCUUUUGUCCCUACUUUUCUUCCUUCCAUAUGGCUUCAACUUGCACCCUACACGGACACCUCUCAAAUACCUGCCUCCAGCUCUGCCAUCUUGACAAUGACUGUAUCCCUAUCUAGAAUUGCCCUGAGAGAGCAAGCUCUUGGAUGUCCUGUUGCCAUGGCAAAUGCAGGUCCAGAUAAUGAACAUGGUGCUUCAAUCUUCUUGAAGGAAGGCACAAAAUCAAUCUCACUCUGUAUGCUUCUGUCCCCUGUCUUUCUGUGCUUCUGUUAAUAAAACCUCCAUUCUAUCACCAUGCUUAUAACAGUCAUUUUGAUCUUACACUCAUCCUUUAUCCAUGGAUACAGUCACAAAAAGAUGUCUACUCCUUUAUAAUGGUGCCACUAUUCUCAUUCUUGGUGCAAGGCCUCACAGCCACAUGGCUAUGUUUCUCAGUCAUUGACCUUAUUUUAUUCUUUCCAUCCUUCUCUUUGCCUAUCCAUUCUAAAGGUAUACAAGCUUUUUUUUUUUUUUUAAUUGUGGAAAAAAAACACAUAGAAUCUACUCCAAACAAUUUUUAAGUGUAAUAGUACAGUACAGUAUUAACUCUAAGUAUAAUGUUGCACACCAGAUCUCUAGAACUUCUUCAUCGUCCUUGACUGAAAUUCUAUAUCUACUGCAGAGCAAUUUCCCAGUUCUCCCUCUCCCAACCCCCAGUGACCAGCAUCCCUGCUUUUAACUAUGAGUUUGACUAUUUUAGUUAACUCAAAUAAGUGGAAUCAUUGAGUAUCUGUCCUUCUGUGACUGAUUUAUUUCACUUAGCAUAAUAUGCUCAAGGUUCAUCCAUUACAUAAGGGUUCCAUUCUCUCCACAUGCUCAUCAAUACUUUUUUUUUAAUGUCCAUCUAAUAGGUGUGAGGUGAUAUAUCAUUGUUUUGAUUUGUAUUUUCCUGACAAUCAGCAACUGUGAUCAUCUUUUCAUAGACGUCUAGCCAUUUGUAUGUCUUCUUUGGAGAAAUAUCUAUAUAAGUCCUUGGCCCAUUUUAAUCAAGUUACUCAGCUUUUUGCUAUUGAGUUGUAGGAGGUCCUUAUAUUUUGUGGAUAUUAGCUCUUUAUUGGAUACAUGGUUUGCAAAUAUCUUCUCCCACUCCCUAAGUUGUCUUUUCAUUCGGUGUUGAUGGUUUCCUUUGCUAUGCAGAAGCUAUUUAGUUUGAUGUAGUCUCACUUGGCUACUUUUGAUUUUGUUGCCUGUACUUUUGGUGCCGAAUUCAAGAAAUCAUUGCCAAGACCGGUAAUAUGAAGCAUUCUUUCUAUAUUAUUUCUUAGGAGAUUUAUAGUUGCAGAUAUUAUGCUAAAUAAACUUUAUUCCAUUUUGAGUUGAUUUUUGUGAAUGGUAUAAGAUACUAGUCUAAAUUCAUAGAUACAAACAUUUUAAAAACUCUAAUUUCAUAUCUUACUUGGGUAUACAUAUAUAUGGAGUAAGAAUUUAAUACAAAUUAAAGAAACAAUAAACAAAAAUUCAAAACUGGCAUUCCCAUUGUGGCUCAGCAGUAACAAAACCAACUAGUAUCCAUAAGGAUGCAGGUUUGAUCCCUGGAUCUGCUCAUUGGGAUAAGGACGUGGUGUUGUAGUGAGCUGCAGUGUAGGUUACAGAUGCAGCUCAGAUCUGGCAUUGCUGUGGCUGUGGCAUAGGCCAGCAAUUGCAGCUUGUAUUCAACCCCCAGCCUGGGAACUUUCAUAUGCAGCAGGUGUGGCCCUUGAAAGAAAAAAAAAAAAAAUGCAAACUAUGUUUACCUGUGGAGGUGGGGAAUCACAUAGGAGGCUUCAUUAAUAAUGGUCAUAUUUGAUUUUGUAAAUUUGUUAUGUGUACCUUGUAGUUUAUCAUAUUUGUACUUACACACAAUUUUAGAUAAAUGAACUAUUUUAUGAUAAACUGAAAGUAAGAAUGUUAAUUUUUGAAGAAAAAGAUGGAACCUUAUAGGUUUUUAAAAAUGAAUCUAAUAACUUUCAAAAUCAUUUUUUAACAUUAAAACUUCCUUAAUAGACACACUUUAGCAUAGGAACUAAGUCUAUUUAAAGGUUCCAGCCCUGAUGUAAAAAGUCUAACAUUCAUUGGGUGGAGCACUGUCUUCUACUUCUAACCAUACUAGAUGAAUUGCAUUAUAAAUUAAUUCUGCAAAGGCAGUUCAUACAAAUGCAGUUUACUUUUAUUGAUUCGCUUCUUUCUACCAAGUCUCAGAAUGAAAAUUAAAUGCAAAGAUUUCUUACUACACAAAUUUAUAGGUAGACCAUGAAAAACACAAUAAGAGAUCCCACCCUUUUGCAGAAAAACUCAAGUCAAGAAAUACUAUUUCCAACACUUCAUGGUGGGCACUGAGCAGGUCUUCAUCAUAGUCAAUGUCAGAGUUUCUCAACUUCAGCAUUACUGACAUUUUGAGCCAAAUAAUUCUUUUUUUUCAUUUUUGAAAAAGUUUUAUUGAAGUAUAGUUGGUUUACAGUAUUUUGAUAAUUUCUACUAUACAACAGUGAUUCAGUUAUACAUGUACACACAUCCAUUCUUUUUCAGAUUUUUUCCCCACAUAGACCAUCAUAGAAUAUUGGGUAGAGUUCCCUGUGCUCCCCAUUGUCAGGACAAGUAAGUCUUUGUUGUGUGAGGAUGUCCUUGUAUUGUAGGAUAUUUAGCAUUCCUGGCCUCCUCCCACUAAAAGGUAGUAGCAUACUUUGCCCCAAAUGUGACAUUCAAAACUGUCUUCAGAUGUUUCCCAAUCUCUCCAGAAGAUAAAAUUGCCUCCGGUUGAGAACCCCCCAUCUAUGUGAAUGGCACCCCCUAGAAGUGCCCUCAGUAACAGUAUCCAGCUACCUAGACACUGGAAAUACAAAUAUGAAGAAAGCGCUGAAUUCAAGCAAUUUACACUUUAGGGGAAAUAAAUUUAGAUUGACACAAAUAGUUUAUUAUUAUUUCCCUGAAUACUAUCAAGUUACAUGAAAAUAAAACAAGGAAACUUAUAAAUAUAUUGCCACUUAGGAAAACAACAUGACUCUUAAAUAGAAUUAAUCUUAAGUGUUUAUUAAAUUAAUCAAUAAUAAAAUUGAUUAGUCAAUAUGUCAAAAUGCAAAAACACUUUAAAGAAAUUCAAUUUUCUGCCUAUUUAUUGUACGCCAAUGAGCUCCACAUUACCAACUCCCAUGACUUUUCUGAUAAUUUAUUGGCUCUUUAAUUAGCAUUUUAUAUGGGUAACCAUUUAUUUCUUCUGAAUAGUCUAUGUUCUCUGGUUUUCUCUUUUUUCUACCUAUUACUUGUACAUCUCCUUUACUGUCUACUUCUUUACAUCUUCUAAAUUUUGGAAUUUGCCAUGGUUGAGUACUGAGCCCUCAGCUUUUCUCACUUCCUACCAUCUCCCUAAGUGAUUACAUCUAUUUCUAUGCUGUCACAUACCAUCUAUACACCAACAAUUGCCUACUGGGCAUGUUCCCUCAAAUCUUUCGAGAGCAGUUCAAUUGAGAUGUCUAAGACUCCUCUUCUUCCAAUUUGUCCCAUCUUCAUACGUGACAACUCCCUUGACCCAGCUGUUCAAGACACAGAAUCAUAACUGCCAUUUACUCUCACUUUCACAUCCAAUUCUUUACCAAAUCCUAUUGAUUAUACUAGAUCUCUCAGCUCUGUCCACUGGUACUACUUAUUCCAGGCUGGACUCAUUUCUAGACUAGGCUAUUCCAAGGGCCUUCUAUCCUGUUUCCAUGCGUCUUUAUCUUGCUUCUUGAGAAUCUAUCAUUUACGCUGUAACUAAUUUAAAAAUAGUGCUCAGAUCAUGCAACUUCCUGUGUAAACUUUCAAUCACUUCUCACUGCACUUAGAAUAAUAAGUAACCUCCUCCUUACCAUGACCUACUAGGCCCUGGAAGACCUGGACUCUUUGGCUUAUACCUCUAAGCAACUUUCCCUUUUUACAUGUUUCAACCACACUGGCCUUUACUCUUUUUCUCUGGACAACCUCUUUAUCACUUUGGUACUGGUGGUUCCCCUGUGACUAGAAGGCUCUUUCUGUGUCAUUCAGGCUCGUCUUAAAGUAAACCUCUUCUGGGAGAGACUUUCUCUGAUCCCCCAAAUUACAUAUGCUAUAUUAUAUAAAUAUUUAACAUGCAUUAUACCAUAUGAUUCAUACAACACUUCUAGGAGCUCAGUAUCAUUCUGCAGGUAAAGAAAUCAAGGCUUAAGAAGGUUAGUAAAAUACCCCAAAUCACAGAGUAACAGGAUUUGAACCAUGGCUCUCUUAUCUCUUAUCCACACACAUACUACCUUUCCCAAUGUAGCUGGUCCAAGGAAGACAGAUAUGUUUUAUGAACCACAGCCACAGAAUAUGUUUUAUGUUUUAUGAAUCCACUUCAUCCACAUUUACUUCACCCACUAAUCUAUAAAUUUCUGAGGGUAGGAGCUGUGAUUAUUGAUCUCCAAAUCUCUAGGGCGGGUGACACUAAAAUAUUGUGACCACAUGGCUGAAAGAACAAAAAAGAAAGAACUCAUCUCAAGGAAAAACAAUGCUUUAACUAUUUAAGACUUUUAAUAAAACACUCAGUCCUCAAACAGCAGUGACAUAAAAGAAGGUCAAAUGUUAAACAUUCGGUCCGGACAGAAGUGGAGGAUUUGGAAGCAUGAGUGCACUGGUAUUCAGUCAUCCAGUGGGGCUGACCAAGACCAUCAGAAAUUACAUUAGUGCAUAAAGAAGGGGACCCUGACAAGCUAAAUGGCACUUCUGAACAUAUUUCUAACCAUAGAUGGAUAUGGAAAUUUCCAACCCUGAAUCUUGCUUUUCUAGUUGUGUUCUUAUGAGAUAAAGAUAUUAGAGGAAAAAAAAUAAAACACAGAUAAAGGAACAAUUCCGGAAAAAGUAGUUUGCAGUUGCCAGUACUACUGCCUCUUUGUUUUCUCAAUGGUUUAAGAAUCUAAGGAUAAAAAAAUAAUAAUAAUUAUAAUUAAAAAAAUAAUCCAAGGAUGAUUUAUAACUAUGAUCCUUCCUGUAGUUCCCACUGUGGCUCAGUGGGUUAAGAAUCCAACUAGGAUCCAUGAGGAUGCGAGUUUGAUCCCUGGCCUCACUCACUGGGUUAAAGAUACUGUGUUGCCACAAGCUACAGCGUAGGUCACAGAUGCAGCUUAGAUCUAGCAUUGUUGUGGCUCUGAUAGCUGUGGCCAGCAGCUGCAGCUCCAAUUCCACCUCUAGCCUGGGAACUCCCAUGUGCUUCAGGUGUGGCCCUAAAAAGAAAACAAACAAACAAAAAACAAUAUCCUUCCUACCUCACUCCCUCCCCCACCAACAGCCUCAACUUCAUUUAUCCCCCCACUUCUCUCCAAAAAGAUAGCAAGAUCUCAAAGCUCUACCAAUGUUUCUACAAGGAACAUUUGGCUGAGUCUAUCAAGAUUGACAAAAGUAUUCUCACCAAUGAAAGAAAGAUAAAAGUAAGUAUGGGAGAUCCUGUCUUGGCGCAGCAGAAAGGAAUCCAACUAGGAACCAUGAGGUUUCGGAUUCCACCCCGGGCCUUGGGCAGCGGGUUAAGGAACCGGGCGUUCUCGUGAGCCGUGGUGUAGGUCACAGAGGUGAGGCGGCUCAGAACUGGCGUUGCUGUGGCUCUGGCCUAGGCAGCAGCUGCAGCUCCAAUUCCACCUCUAGCCUGGGAAC